rnacentral:rRNA from 1 species
GACGAACGCUGGCGGCGUGCUUAACACAUGCAAGUCGAACGGAAAGGCCCUGCUUUUGUGGGGUGCUCGAGUGGCGAACGGGUGAGUAACACGUGAGUAACCUGCCCUUGACUUUGGGAUAACUUCGGGUAACUGGGGCUAAUACCGGAUAGGAGCUCCUGCUGCAUGGUGGGGGUUGGAAAGUUUCGGCGGUUGGGGAUGGACUCGCGGCUUAUCAGCUUGUUGGUGGGGUAGUGGCUUACCAAGGCUUUGACGGGUAGCCGGCCUGAGAGGGUGACCGGCCACAUUGGGACUGAGAUACGGCCCAGACUCCUACGGGAGGCAGCAGUGGGGAAUAUUGCACAAUGGGCGGAAGCCUGAUGCAGCAACGCCGCGUGCGGGAUGACGGCCUUCGGGUUGUAAACCGCUUUCGCCUGUGACGAAGCGUGAGUGACGGUAAUGGGUAAAGAAGCACCGGCUAACUACGUG